rnacentral:lncRNA from 1 species
GCCGGGCAGGCGGGAGGCUGCUCUGCAAACACGAAGCCCCGAGCGAACUCUGAGGACGCGGCCAGGUCGGGAGGAGGCCUCACCGCACCUCGGCCCGGCCUGCAGGGUCCCCGCCAGCCCCGCGGCCCGGCCUCCUCCGUGGGGCUGUGGUUUCUCGCGGUCGCGGCCUGGCCCGGCCCCGCCCGACCGCCACACCAGCACCCGGGACCCGAAAUAGCAAGUUCACCCUGGGUCACACUUGCGAGAACCAACCCGCACCCCACCCCAGAAAGGGCUCAGUCCGCACCUUUCGAGAACUGCUCGCGGGCCCAGGGAGUCGGCCUAGCGGUCACAUUUCAACCUGGAGCAGCUUCGGAGGAGUUGAGUCUGGGGAGCAGGGGAGAGCGACCUGAUUGGAAGGAGGGUGCCGAAGAGCCCUGGACAGCGGGAGUGCCCGACCCUGCCCAAGAAGGGGCCUGCCCGCGGCCGCGAGGGCUCCGGGCCACCAGCCUCAGCUGCCACCCAGUGCCUGGCCAAGACGCAGGGCCCGGCCUCCGAGGGCCGCGGGCACCGGGGACCUGCGUAGGCCUCUCCGCUGCGCUCCUCUGCGGGGCGCCCUCUCCCUGGCGCGCCUCUGAACCUGGCAUCGAAGCCGCCCGAUAGAUACUUCGAACAAUCCGGGAGAGAAAGAAAAAGAACUCAGUUUGCCCGCGUAAACGCUGCUAGUAACUCUCAGAAGUUUCCUGGUUUCUCGUAAAGGUGGCCGGGGCCGUUUACAGUAAGAACGGAAUAAUGUUUGCGACUGUACGACAUAAUUAUCUCCAGACUUGCCUCUACCCCGCCCCCAGCUAGGGUUUUCACCAGCGAAAGCGGCUAAUGCAUUUGCACACAUUAAACAUCUUGAACGCAUAAUUACAGGCUGCAGACAGGCUGGACAAUAAAAUAUCUCGGCUCGAUAUUUUUGGAAGCCUUUUGUGAUGGUGCCUGGAAUAAAUAACAACCGCUUUCUAUGUCCUCAGCCAUCUAACUGCAGCCACCGUUAUUUCAGAACACCCCCACCCCACCUCGGAGGGGCAGAAGUGGGGGACUUCAGCGGAAGGGUGCGGUCGCCUGAAGAGGUCUCCUGAGCCUCGGGUGCGUGUGGGCUUGGAGGACUGGAAUAAGAAGAAAAUAUGUUCCAAGCCCUGAGGGCCCUCUUCCUCAUUAGAGGCACACAAGUGGGGCCCUCUAGGCCCCACACCCUCUGGGCGCGUGCCCUCCCUGACUCCCUACGCCAAGACUAAAAAAUUUGAAGACUCAGACCACAUGUUCCUAC